UGCACAUGCUGAACAGGAUCUACGGUUGACUCUGGGUAUGGACCUCAAUAGAAGAGUCAACAGCAGUCUUUAUGGUUGGAACCAAACUAGUCAACAUGUGUAAUAUUGCUGGUUGAAGUAGCAGUCAGAAGUAAGGUCUGAAUGUCUAAAAUGAAUAUGAUGCUUGGUGGAUGAGAUGGCCAUGAGUACACAGUAAUAAUAUGGGAUGACCAAAAGAUUGAAAGAUAAUCAGGAGAUUAAAUAUUUUAAUUUUCUGGUUGCUAUGACGAUGAUCAUGGAACACAGGAUGAAGAGCAAAGGCCAUGGAUAAACAGAAGAGAUGGCAAAGUGUCCGAGUCACACAGCAGGCAGGCUGCAGCACAUUGCUCACAGACUUGGGGGUGAAAGAAGAUGGUUUGGGUUUGCCAUGAGCCAAAAAGUACGCAUGUUCCAGCAUGUGGGGUAGAUAUUUUUUCUGAGAAGGAAAUAUUUUGUCAUAACAUGGACUUAAGUUAAACCCAAAAGCAGAAGAGGAUGUUGAUUUUCAUAGGGCAUCCAUAUCUGAGAAAUCAACCUGUCACAUCUGCUAAUAAAUGCAAAAGAGAAGGAAAUGAAAAGCAUUGGUCAUCUCGAAACUGACGUUAUUCAGCUGUCAACACACUUUGCAAAUGCUGAGCCUGGUGUUAUUGACAGUGUAGUGUCGUCAGAUUGACUAAGUGAACUGGGGCUUCACUUCUAAGUGGCUCUUCAAAUGGAAAGCUGAAAGAACUGUGUCACCUUAAUGGAGAAAGACUAAGAAGAUUCUCUCUCUGAAUAUAUUUAGUGGAAGUGUGAAUG